AUGUUUAAAAAGAAAUAAAAGCUAGAAAUCAUGGAUCCCAUAAAUCAUUAGAGAUUCCGUCAGUGUGUACUCAUCUUUUUAGUUGAAGCUAUUUGGUUCUUCUUACAUGUGCACUCACCAGUGGUCAUUACUGGAGUCCUAUAUGUGCAUUGGGAAUGCAAAAGAAUUGGUCUUACCAGAUGUUUUGAGGCAAGUUAGCAGUGAGUUUAAAAUUGGAGGCACUAAUUGAAAGAAAACAUUCUGAGAGAUAUGGUGGAUAUAUAUCAGACCAAGACAUCAUAAAAUAGACUCUGUACAGAUGCAUGUUCGUAUACAUACAUGAAAUGAAACCCACAUGUGUUCAUUCAUGUGGAUGUAUUGAAGUUGACAAGGUUGAAUAAUAUACAACCCUUUCUGCAUGAAUAGAUGUUUUUAUAGUGAAAUUAUUCCUUGCGGUCUAAUUUGGAUGCUGGACUAGUGACUGCUGAGGUCUGGCUCCAUAUAAUGCGUGCUUCGGAUAUUGAAGCUAAAAGAUAACGUACUUUUUUCUGUACUAGUAAAUGCCAUUGCUGUAUUCUUCUUUGGUUUUUUCCCCUGUGAAGUUUGCUGAUGGAUUAUUCUUUGUGCUUAAUCUAUCCCUCACAUAUAUUUUUCUUUCGGGAGUGAUUCUUUACUCUGAAUUCAUGUUGUUAAGAACUCCACCUCCAUGCCUUCAUGAUCAA